AGCACCGGCUAAACCCCACCGCCCCCGCUCGAUUCUUCGCACCCCAAGCCGCUUCGCCUUGCCCCGCACCUAUUCCAACUCUUCCCGAGCUCGGCCGUGCCGUUUCCCGGCCGGAAUCGAGCCGCCAUCACCGGCCGCCAUUGAUGCUCCCGUCGAGCUCCGCCCCCGGCCGUCGAUCUCCUACUUCCGGUCCACCUCCGCCCGAUUCGAGAGCAUGGUACGAUAGAUGAACCACGUGAAGGACGUGCUAUUGGAGCUGAACCCGAAGACGAUGUUGGUGGACAUAUCCAGAAGACAGAUGGAUGGAUCCCGAUGUGCUCGACCGAAGGAAGAUGCUCGCUAAGCAAUUAUCUCCUAACUAGCACUGACAUAGUGUUACCCCAGGUAGCGGCUGCUGGUUGGAGCUAACCAGGAUUCACAUUGGUGGGCACGAUGUGAAGUCCUUACGUCAUCGUAGUAAUCGUUGUUUUUUUCUAAACUAAACUUUUAUUUAAUUUCCACUGCAUUUUGAACUUUGAUAUUUCACGUAAACUUGUUUGUAAAACUCCGCAUUGUAAAUUAAAUUUGAGAACUUC